GACGGCCAUAGUAGUUAGGAAACACCUGUUCCCAUUCCGAACACAGAUAGUUAAGCUAAUUACGUCGUUUGUAUUAGUGCCCUACAAGGUGCGAAGCAUCGAUGCUGUC
rnacentral:rRNA from 1 species